rnacentral:lncRNA from 1 species
GGCAUGGUGAUGCCUUCAGCUUUAAAUUUAAAUAGAGGACAAAUUGAGGCACAGGGUAGGGAGUCGGCUGAAGGGUAUGCAUAAUUAAGCGCCUUAAGUGGUUAAGGUAGUCUGGUUGAUCAUUGCCUCAGUUCUGGUUUGGCUCGGCAGACAUCUCAAGCUGGCAUAGUUUUAACAGAAUCAAUCUGUUUCCAUAGGAGAUAAAUUCCAUUUCAAGUUGCAGCCUUUGUCUUCUCAGAAGAGGGGCAGCGGUCUGUCUUCAAGUUUUUCCCUUCAAGAAGUUCAAGAGGAGUUGGAGGGGUGGCUGAGUAGUUAUUUAUAUAUGAAUCAUCUGUGGCCUGAAGGAAACUUCCUG